AAUUAAAAAAUUGGCGCUGAUUUUUCCCCAGAUUUCCCCCCUAAACGAAAAAAAUCCCAAAAUUCCCCCUAAAAUGGAAUCAAGUGGGAAGUGUAGGAAAAAAGUAGUUGAAAGUUUUGAGUUUUGCUUCGUUGAUUUUCUUUUUGUUUCACAUUUUCCUACUGACCAAACAAAGGCGCUUGAGAAGCUGUUAAAAGAUCAUGCUGGAAAAUAUGCGACUGGAGAUGAAGUUUCCAUGGGGGUGCUUCCUGCAGCAAUAUGUGAUUAAGAAAAUGUAAAUCAGGCAGAUCUGUUUCUAGCACCACAGAUUCUGGUUGGGAUUGAACGAUUCAAUGUUGACAUGGAAACAAGAAGAGCCUGGUUGAUGCUAUUGAGAAAGGGAUUGAUCUAUGCAAACAAAUACCAGAACUGUAUAAUGAUUAUUACCAUGGCGGACUGAUGAAGUUAGUGGUAAUUGGUGGUGAGUCUUUGGAUGUACUUCAGCACUGGGUUGUUGAAUUAUUUUCUGACGUCAGACAAGGUUCUCAAGGAAAGCCAGAGUUUAAGGUGGAAGGUCCUGUCUGGAGAGCUGGUAAACUUUACAGGUUAGAGGCAGUUAAGGAUGUCCAUAUCCUUGAAUUAAGGUGGGCACUGCCUUGUCUUUUGCAAGCGUAUCUGCAGAAACCAGAAGAUUAUCUGGCUCAUCUUCUUGGCCAUGGUAUGUAAUUCUGUGUUAUCCUAAUGCUUAAGUAGUACGUUGCUCAUGGAAAUAAUAAUAACAAAGAAAAGGAUGCAUGUGCAAAUAUGAAGAAAAUGUGAACUGUCCAGUUUUGAUGCCUUAAAAGUAAUAAGUUAUUCUUGAUUUGCCUGUAAAUGUGGAUGCUAUUUUUCAUUUGCUUCAAUUUCUAUGCUUGCUUAUAUGCAUAUAUGCAUGUCCAUCGUCAGUCUGUGUUCCUUUUAAUCAUUGAUGGAUUCAGGGUCGAUGUUUCUUAUUUUGGCUUUUUCAAGUUUUCAUCCAUUGAUUGAUGUUUGUAAGUAAGUAUUUCUUGAUUUUAGUUGUUGCACUUAAUUUCUUAUUUCAUAUCUUAAGUUACUGGCUUUAUUCACAAAUAUUUGUUUGGCAAGUGGUGAAGUUUUAUGACUUUGUUUCUUGUUUUUUAAAUAAAUAUACUUAUGGGACACCCAUGUCACACAUACUUUUUGUUCAACUUAAUAAUCAUGUAUGAAAGCUUAUCUUUUGAUGUUUAAUUCAUCUUUUUGUGUGCAAUGUUGCAUGUCAUGACAUUGAAGUCGAUGUUGGAGUGUUCAAGAGUAGCAAGUUAUGUUACUACAUCUUAUAGAAUUGUUUGGUUUUUUCUUUUCUUUUGAAAUUAGAGUUUCUGCAGUAAUUUAUUCUUUUAUAAUAAAUAUUCUCUAAAAGGUAAAUGGAUUGUCAUAAAACUGUUUUAUUCUUAUUAGCAAGAAGUGAACUCCCGACCUAAUGAUUAAGAUAUUGUUUGGUUUUUAUCAUAAAAUUUUGCUCUCAAUUCAAUAGAUGGAAUACAUGUGGACAUCAGACGGUUUGGAUUAAGUUGCUUCAAUUUUUGUAUUAUUUUAAAUAUAUUAAGUGAGUUAUAUUUAAGUAUUUCAAUUAAGUUGCUACUUUUUGUUUAUAUUUAUAAUUUUAUUAUUUAAAAAUUUUAAUUUAAAUUAAAAUUAAGUAUUAAAAAGUCGAAUUUGAGAUUGGGAAUUGAACUUCAGCUAAUUACAAUUAGCUAUGAGUUUAAUGAAGUAAACUUGAGAAAUUUUAACUUUUAUUUUGAUUUAAAAUUAGAAUUUAAAAAUAAAAUUCAAAAUUACAAUUUUGCAUUAAGCUUGAGUCAUGUAAUGUCAGCCUUUCAUUUCCCGCCUUAGUUACGACCCAGCAACAAAGUUUUUUUUAGAAAAUAAGGCAAUGUUUUGAUAAAUUGGAAAAUGAAGUUUUGGUAUGCUAUGGUCUGCAUUAGUUUCCUUUUGCUUAUUUGGACUUUGAAUGUACAUUUCUGGUAACUUUUGUUUAUGAUUUAUCAGGAUAAGAAAAGAAUAUUUUGUUUCUUCCUUUUACUGUUUUAUGUUUAUGGUAGAUGUAAUGGGACUUGCGAGUGCAUGAUGUUAAAAUUUAGUCACAGAUUGACAAUUAUACUAACAUCAAUUGAAUUAAAAUUUAGUCGGCAUAUAUGAAUAAAAAAGUUUGACUUGCGAGUGCAUGAUGUUAAAAUUUUUUGAUAAAUGAUCGUUUAUUUUGCCAAGAAAAUUGGUCAGAAGUGAGCGUUUUGAUUUUUAAAUCUUUUUUAGCGUUUUGAAUUUUAGGAAUUAUAUAUAUAAACAGAUAAUAUUACGGUUGCCCGAUGACUCAGAAGUGAGCGAUGAACUAUGGGAUGAGGUGAUAGAGUUAAUGAAAUUUCGGGUGGUGGACAAGGUUCCGUUAAUUCGUACGCUUGCAGUUCGGGUGCUUUCACGAUUUGUAAAUGAUUCUGAAAAUAGCAACAUUCUUGAUUUAUUUCUCGAAGUCCUUCCAUUGGAGUAGAACUCGGUCAGUGUGUAAACUUAUAUAUUGCUUCUGUUGUCUCGAUGAGUUGCGUGAUUUGUUAUUGUUCCUAUUCUCUUGGCUCCAAUUUUUUUGGUUCAAAACUUGAUGUCUAAGUGUAUGCUUGAGUAUUUGGCAAUCAAUCCUGUGAAAUAGUUUCUAGUUAAGGUGGCAUAGAAGCAUAUAGUCCAGGCAUAAUCUGUUCUUACAAUUUAUGAUUGUUUUUUGGUUUCUCCUCUCCACAAAUUGUCUAAUGUAUUUGGCAGAAUGAGAUACAUGCAUUUCUCUAUGUGGAUGGGUAACCUGUAUCUUUGAUUUGAGGCAUAGUUUGAUGACAGCAUAACUUAUUGCUGAAGUUAUACAGCCACGUUGUUUACAUGCUGAUGACCAGUUUUGACGUUUAAGAUUUCAGAAUUGAGAUGGAUUUUCAGCUUGGAAGAUGUAUAGAGCCUGGAGAAGUUUAUGAUAAAUAAUGUGCUUGUUGUUGCACUUAUAUUAAAUAUUGUACCCUUUUCUGCGAAAUUGUUGUAUUUUGAAAUAUCUUUUAAGAUUAAGGAACUAUACUAAAUGCGGUCACAAAACUUAUGUAAUUCUAAUAUAAAAUGUAAACAAUUUUCUUAUGUAAUUCUAAUAUAGAAUGUAUCUUGUUUUAA